GCAUCAUCUUGGCGUGCUGGGUAGCGGGCACGAUGGUAGGCCUACUGCCGGUGAUAGGCUGGUACAACUACUGGGAAAGCUACGAGAACGUGUGUUUCUUCGUCAAGGUUAUGAGCUACGAUUACCUGGUCUUCAUCUACUUCGGGACGAUCGUGGGACCCGGGAUUCUUAUGGCUGCCUUCUACGCCCAUAUCUACUCGGUGGUUCUCAAGCAGACCAAACUUUCAGUGCGAUCCGAGCAUGGAACGCUCCGUCAGAUCGCAGCGCAAGAACCCCAGGCGGACGCAGCUUCGGUAGGGACGCAGAGCAGUCAGCGGCAACGAUCCAACUUCUUCCGAACGCAGUCUCGAGGUCAGGUGAGCGAAUCAUCCAGAUACGACCCCCACCGAGCCAGCACCAACACGAACCUCGCCAACCAGCUUCAAAUACCAAGCUCCCGGGGUGGGCUGUAUCGGCCUGCCUCCUCCUCACCCCUCCAACGCUCGCCUCUUCUGGAACACGCCGACCUCCAGCUCAGCCCCUCGCCGCCACGCCCCAACCCACGCCACCACCUGCACAGCGAGAGCCUCCACCACUACUUCCUCCACCUCCACGGCAAGGACCACCGGAGGAAGAGCUACGAGGAAACAGACAGCUGCUCUCUCGGGGACAUUAGCGAGGAUACGAGACACGAGGAGGACACGGACGCCGAGGACAGAGCCAGAGGGGUUGAAGCCGCGACGAAGAGAACCACUAACCUUGCCCUGGACCAUCAGCCUCUCCUCGGCCAUGGCUCCCGGGCCCCGAGCAUCAAGAUAGACUGCGAGGCGACGAAGGACACGCUGCCCCUCCCGCCGGCGUACGUAGAAGCGACGUGGAGCUUCCUGCCGAGUGGAAGACGAAGAAGUAGACAGGAAGGCGUGCAUGGACAUUACCGGAGGGGCAGCGAAGCGCACUCCCGCCGCAGCAGCGAGGCGCACUCCCGCCGCAGCAGCGAGGCGCACUCCCGUAGGGGCAGCGAGGCACACUCCCGCCGCGGCAGCACGCUCUCCUACGUUCUCUACCAGGUGACGCACGCCAGCCGCCGCGAAGUCAAGGCCGCCAAGAGUCUUAGCAUCAUCGUUCUGUUCUUCAUGAUCAGCUGGUUCCCGCUCUACACCAUCAACUGCGUCCAGGCGUUCUGCAAGGAGUGCAAGGUGUCGGAGGGCUUCAUGUUCUUCACCAUCAUCCUCACGCACCUCAACUCCGCCAUCAACCCCUUCCUCUACGCCUACCACAUGCAGGACUUCCGCCUCGCCCUCAAGUCCUUCAUCCUGCAUCGCAUCCUGCGGCGGCCGGCUGACCCCGACCUGGCGUUCAACCGCAGCCUGGCGUCGGUGCACCACAACACCACCGUGCACCGCGUCAACGUGGCCGACUCGCCCUACCUCACCAACCUGCACACGCCGCACUCCCACAACAGCCCCGUCUCCGGCUCUCCGCUCCCGGGCAUGUCCGUGGACGGCAUCAGGUCGCGGUCUUCCACAGUGGGCAGCUUUGGGCCCUGGGACUCCUACAAGGGUUUGUCCGCCUCUGUUUCGUUCCCUUCCUCCCCAGCCUUCACCACGUCCUCCUCGGUGCCCGCCCACGCCGGCGACCUCCUGUCCUACCGCCAGCAGGCCGCCGCCCUCAACAGCCCCGCCGGCCUCGCCUCGUCUACGCACGGCCCCGGCGGUGCGGAGGACUCCUCACAGCCGCUGCUGCCCUCGGGAGUGACGCUGUGUGUGCCGCCCGUCCGCCACGCCCACAUGAUGAGCCCGCCCACCUCUUCCCACAACGGUGACCUUGCCCCGCCCGGCCCGCAGCCACACCCCACCGGCGACGCCGCCUCUGAGCCGCUCCUGAUGGAGACGUGUGACGUGACGGACGUGACCGUGACUCCCAGCAGCCCCAAGUGGUCCGUGGGCCCCGACGCCCCGGACCAGGACGAGGAGUUGCAAAUGAGUGACGCCCCUGGAGCAGCGGAGGACCUGCCCGGGGAAGCCUGCGGCACACCCAUUUGUCUGCAGAGCUCGCAGACGGCAGAGAGUGUGGCGGCCGGUGAGAGUGUGUGUGAGAGUCUGUGCGACACGUCUCCGACGGGCGCCUCUCUUCCCACCGACACGGCCGUGGAGCACACACUGUACACCGGCAACGGCUCCAUAGGGCGGCCAGCGUCCCCGUACUGUCCGGCAGACUCGGCGCCUCUUCCCUUGGCCCCAAAGGCAUCCAUAGAAUCGUUACAAGACUCGCCGUGCAACGGCACGAGGUCUGGUCAUGACAGCUUGGAGACUUUCUCUGGAGAAGACGAAGCACAGAGCCAGGAGGCCGCCCUGAGGGUGAGCAGGUUCGGCGUGGAGGCGACGGGCGCCGCCGGCAACAACCACGGCAACACACGGACGCCGACGUCCCUCCUCUCGAACGGCAGCGCGCUGGGCCUCACGCACGGCAGCCCCGACGACAGCCUCUCUUCCCCCGCCACCCCGGCCGCCCCCGGCCUGGAGACCCCUGUCCCGCAGGUCACGGAGAGCGAGCCGUCACUCCUGUCGCGGGAGCUCAGCAAGUACCUCCCCAAGAUCCUGCGGCGGGGGGAGGGCGGCCAGCGGUCCAGGAUCUUCAGGUUCAGGAACUGGUGGUCGCAGGACUCGCGCCAGAAGUCUUACCACGGCAUGUCCCUGGAGGCCGCCUCCGCCCAGCACGCCCGCCGCGCCCGCAGCAUCAGCGGCGCCAUCGGCACGUAACAGCCGCCCCCCGCCACAGGCCCGCGUGGCUACGGUGUGCUGUAAAUACUUCAGACAGCGGCGGUCACUGAGGGGAGCAGCACAAGUGAUAAGGUGGUAGUGAUCCUCAGCCAGUGCGCAGCUGAGUGUUACCGGCGACCCCAGGGCCGAGCUGUGCCGGUGACUCCGUGUGUGUUGUGCUGCCACGGCCACAGUCUGCGUGUCAACCCGCCCAGGAGAACAAUGUCUUCAUCUGUGUUGCUUGACGGUGAGCGCAUGCCCAUGGCACACCCAGGGCCUCCCUCGUGGCCCGCGGCAAGGGCCAGGGAGGGACAUCCUGGCGGCCCCGCCAGCGACAGGCCUGGAGGUGUGGCAAGGCGUGGCGGCCUCGGUGCUGACGGGCUCUGAGGGAGAAGCCCGGCGCCUGUGAGGCCCGGCGCGGCUGUCCUUACUCCGCGGUGUUCACGCCUCACGGGGAGAGCCGCAGCCAUGCAGCAGCAGCAGCAGCAGCAGCAGCAGCAGGUCAAGGGCUCCGUGCUGCCCCCGCCUGCCGCUGGGGCCCCGCUGUGACCUCGUCAGUAUUAUCUAACCAAUACUAUACUUUAUACAAAUGAUGUGCAGGUAUUAUAUAUUAUAUUUUCAGAUAAUGGUGUCUUGUAUGUUGUCUGGGUAGGUUCGUUGUAGCAGCGUCACGCCGCCCGCCGGUGUGCUCAUCGUAAUACUUGUGUCCACGCGACCCGGUGCGGCGCGCUCCCUCCCUCCCUCCCGUACGUGUUUGUUACCCGUAGCAGGUGUAGUGUUUCCCCCUGCCAUGACCCUCACCGUGCAGUCUCUCUAGACAAUACUCGGGACACAUGAACAAAGCACCGCCGGCUUCUCUUCGCUGCGCCGCCGCCGUGAUGUCGUGCAUUCCUUGAGGGACGACCCGCCAGAUGGAUCCAGAUAGCCGGGGGAAGGCGGAGGCGUGCGUGGCGCCCCGUGUUGGGUGUACUCGUUCAGCAUAAGUGUUUUUAGUGACGCGAGCAGCAGAGGACUUCAGCGCCGGGCCUUGGGGGAGAGGCCGCGGGCGCUGGCGUGAAGCUGACCAGUGCAAAUGUAAAGGGGCUAUUACACUGGGCAAAUUCUCCGUGGAUCUUCAGUCAAACCACGAUUUCCGCUAGCGUGGUUCUCAAUUGUUUCUUGUUAUUGCUGCUGAUGAAGAUGAUGGGUAAUACCGUCGUCCUUCAGUGAAACCUACCGUAGCCUUGGAAGAUCGUGGACACGUCUGAAAACCACGGAAAUAGGAGAACCACGCCAGCGGAAAUCGUGGUUUAACUGAAGAACCACGGAAAAUAUGCCCAGUGUGAUAGCCCCUUAGGUCGUGACACAUGCUCGCCGCCACGAAUCAGUCCCGGCGGCGGCAAGUGAGAUGUCCGGAGUCUAUUUUUACUCUAGGCCAACCUGUAGACACUCGUUGUAUAACCUUUUGUAUACCGUGACCGGCGGAAGUGUAUCGCGCGCGCUAUAAAUACCGUAAUGUAAGCCACGUCGUUCGUCGUCGUCGUCAUCGUCAGGUUUUUGUGAAGUUUAGAGGAAGGAGCGUCAUUUGAGGGCAUUACUGUGGUGACCCCGUGUGUGUGUGUGUGUGUGUGUGUGUGUGUGUGUGUGUGUGUGUGUUGCUGUCUCUCUCAAUCUAUCUUUAUGUCUAUCUUUCUCUAUUUCUUUUUCAUCUCUCUCUCUCUCUCUCUCUCUCUCUCUCUCUCUCUCUCUCUCUCUCUCUCUCUCUCUCUCUCUCUCUCUCUCUCUCUCUCUCUCUCUCUCUCUUUCUCUCUCUUUAUCUUUAUUUCUAUCUCUCUCUCUCUCUCUCUCUCUCUCUCUCUCUCUCUCUCUCUCUCUCUCUCUCUCUCUCUCUCUCUCUCUCUCUCUCGCUCUCUCUCUCUCUCUCUCUCUCUCUCUCUCUCUCUCUCUCUCUCUCUCUCUCUCUCUCUCUCUCUCUCUCUCCUCUGAUCGCUUACAUUAUGCCCUCAGAACCUGAAGACAUAUCCAAUAGAAUCUCAAUGGACAGAAUAGAUUAUGUGAUUGAGAAUGGCUUGUAAGGAGCAAUUUCUGGGACGACUCUUUCUCCAGAUAUAUGAAAAGUAAUAGAUGGGCCCGUAAUUUUGGCAGAUAUAUUGGGGGUGAGCUCAGGGCAUCACAAGUUCAUGAGGCUGUUACUUAGCAAUUCUUCCUUCAAUACACUUUUCUGUCACUCUGCAAUCCUUCAAUACACUUUCCUGUCACUCUGCAAUCCUUCAAUACACUUUCCUGUCACUCUGCAAUCCUUCAAUACACUUUCCUGUCACUCUGCAAUCCUUCAAUACACUUUCCCUUCACUCUGCAAUCCUUCAAUACACUUUUCCUUCACUCUGCAAUCCUUCAAUACACUUUCCUGUCACUCUGCAAUCCUUCAAUACACUUUCCUGUCACUCUGCAAUCCUUCAAUACACUUUCCUGUCACUCUGCAAUCCUUCAAUACACUUUCCCUUCACUCUGCAAUCCUUCAAUACACUUUCCUGUCACUCUGCAAUCCUUCAAUACACUUUCCUGUCACUCUGCAAUCCUUCAAUACACUUUCCCUUCACUCUGCAGGGGAGAGGGGGAAUCGUUUUUAUAAUAGAUCACUUUUAGGGGUAUUUUGAGUCUGAUACAGUCCUUUAACUCCCCCAGAAAUUACAGCCUUGAUAAAUGAGGAAGUGAGUGAGUGUCUGGAGGAGUGGAUAUGUGAAGGAUAAGUGGAUGAGGGGAGAUGUGGAGGAGUGUAAGUGAGGGAUGAGUGGAUAUAUGAAGGAUUGAGUGAGUGAUGGAAUAAGCAGACAUAUAUCGGUGUGUGAUUUUCUUUUUUUUACAGCGAAUGAGGCAGCUUAACGGGAAAAAAACAAAAACGGAAACAGAAAAGCCCACAAGAUGCUGCUCCAGGAAAUAAAAAAAAAGGAACUUAAGAGGCCCGGGAGUGUGAGGAAUGAGUGAAGAUGUGUGAAUGAUGGAUGAGUAAUGUUUAAAGAAGUGUGGGUAUGAGUAUAAGGGAUGAGUAAAGACGCAUUCAGGCUUAGAAUCGUGCAAACAGUGUACUGGGUUUCAUCUCAAGGAGCGUAAGCAAUAGGAGCGCUGAGGUCAUCCUUAAACUUUACUUACCUCUAGUUAGGCCUCAUCUCGAUUACACAGUCUAGUUCUGGUCCCCCUGCUAUAGAAUGGAUGUCAGGAUGUUAGAAUCUGUACAGAGAAGGAUGACAAAAAUGAUUCAGAGGGUGAGAAACUUGCCCUCUGUGGAUAGACUGAAACAUUUAAAUCUACAGCGGAUGUCAGUAGGUUCUGGUUGUAAAAGAUCCAGGUAGGACGCGUAGCAAUGGUUUUACGUUAGACAAAUUCAGAUUCAGCGAAGACAUAGGCAAGAAUUGGUUCACAAAUAGAGUGGAGGAUGAACGGAACAGGCUUGGCAGUCAUGUUGUGGGUGCCAAUACCAUAGAUACAUUCAAGAAGAGGUUGGAUAAAUUCAUGGAUAGUGAGGUAAGGUGGGGUUAGGAUUGCAGGAGCUGCCUUGUAUAGACGAACUGGCCUCUUGCAGACUCCUUAUGUUUUUAUGAUUAUGAGUGUGAGGGAUGAGUUGAAGAGUGUGAGUACGUGUGUUGGUGUGCAUGUUUUAAGGGGUCACUUAAGAAUAUCUGGCGUUGUGUUGCAGGAAAUAUGUUUGGUUACCUUUACCUUUUAUGGGGGAACUGUUUUUAGAUGUCAUGUGCAUUAUCCAUGUACUCAGCAACAUUCACUGUCGUACCGUUGUGUCCUCGGAGGAAAGGGACAAAUCUACACGAAGGAGAGUCUCGCAAGGGACUGGUUGACUCUACCGAUCGGGAACGUGACUUGGUGUGUCCGAAGGGGGCUUUUAUGAAUACCCUGAGCAAAACCCGGCUUGAAUAAAGUGUCAAAACAAC